UCCCUGGUGGUCCAGUGGUUAGGAUUCUGCACUUCCACUGCAGAGGGCACAGGUUCAAUCCCUGGUCAGGGAA
rnacentral:tRNA from 1 species